rnacentral:rRNA from 1 species
CUCGCAGGCGGUUUCUUAAGUCUGAUGUGAAAGCCCCCGGCUCAACCGGGGAGGGUCAUUGGAAACUGGGGAACUUGAGUGCAGAAGAGGAGAGUGGAAUUCCACGUGUAGCGGUGAAAUGCGUAGAGAUGUGGAGGAACACCAGUGGCGAAGGCGACUCUCUGGUCUGUAACUGACGCUGAGGAGCGAAAGCGUGGGGAGCGAACAGGAUUAGAUACCCUGGUAGUCCACGCCGUAAACGAUGAGUGCUAAGUGUUAGGGGGUUUCCGCCCCUUAGUGCUGCAGCUAACGCAUUAAGCACUCCGCCUGGGGAGUACGGUCGCAAGACUGAAACUCAAAGGAAUUGACGGGGGCCCGCACAAGCGGUGGAGCAUGUGGUUUAAUUCGAAGCAACGCGAAGAACCUUACCAGGUCUUGACAUCCUCUGACAAUCCUAGAGAUAGGACGUCCCCUUCGGGGGCAGAGUGACAGGUGGUGCAUGGUUGUCGUCAGCUCGUGUCGUGAGAUGUUGGGUUAAGUCCCGCAACGAGCGCAACCCUUGAUCUUAGUUGCCAGCAUUCAGUUGGGCACUCUAAGGUGACUGCCGGUGACAAACCGGAGGAAGGUGGGGAUGACGUCAAAUCAUCAUGCCCCUUAUGACCUGGGCUACACACGUGCUACAAUGGACAGAACAAAGGGCAGCGAAACCGCGAGGUUAAGCCAAUCCCACAAAUCUGUUCUCAGUUCGGAUCGCAGUCUGCAACUCGACUGCGUGAAGCUGGAAUCGCUAGUAUCGCGGAUCAGCAUGCCGCGGUGAAGACGUUCCUGGGCUUGUACACACCUGCCCGUCACACCACGAGAGUUUGUAACACCCGAGUCGUGAGUACUUUUGGAGCCAGCCGCCGAUGUGGACAGAUGAAUGGGGUGAGUCGUACCAAGGUAGCCGUA